rnacentral:rRNA from 1 species
UACGGAGGAUCCAAGCGUUAUCCGGAUUUAUUGGGUUUAAAGGGUGCGCAGGCGGACUGGUAAGUCAGUGGUGAAAUCCUACAGCUCAACUGUAGAACUGCCAUUGAUACUAUCAGACUUGAGUACAAAUGAAGUGGGCGGAAUGUGUCAUGUAGCGGUGAAAUGCAUAGAGAUGACACAGAACACCGAUAGCGAAGGCAGCUCACUAAGCUGUAACUGACGCUCAAGCACGAAAGCGUGGGGAUCAAACAGGAUUAGAUACCCUGGUAGUCCACGCCCUAAACGAUGAUUACUCGAUGUGUGCGAUACACUGUACGCGUCUAAGGGAAACCGAUAAGUAAUCCACCUGGGGAAUACGAUCGCAAGAUUGAA